rnacentral:rRNA from 1 species
AGGACGAACGCUGGCGGCGUGCUUAACACAUGCAAGUCGAACGGGGAUUACCGAGCGGAAGGCUUCGGCUGGAAGGUUGGUAAUUCGAGUGGCGGACGGGUGAGUAACGCGUGAACAAUCUGUCCCAGACAGGGGGAUAACACUUGGAAACAGGUGCUAAUACCGCGUAAGACCACGGAGUCGCAUGGCUUUGGGGUAAAAGGAGGAAUCCGGUUUGGGGUGAGUUCGCGUCCGAUUAGAUAGUUGGUGAGGUAACGGCCCACCAAGUCGACGAUCGGUAGCCGAUCUGAGAGGAUGACCGGCCACAUUGGAACUGAGAGACGGUCCAAACUCCUACGGGAGGCAGCAGUGGGGAAUAUUGGGCAAUGGGCGAAAGCCCUGACCCAGCAACGCCGCGUGAGUGAAGAAGGCUUUCGGGUUGUAAAGCUCUGUUAUAGGGGACGAAGGAAGUGACGGUACCCUAUAAGGAAGCCCCGGCUAACUACGUGCCAGCCGCAGC